ensembl:lncRNA
CGUGGCUUUCCCUCUGUGGAAAAGACUGGCAAUUUACACAGACUCAGGAACACGCAAGAGCACACACAAAACACAACACAGAUACACACAUGAGCACACACAGAGAAAUGUGCACGCACACACACACACACAUACACUCCCAUCAAGCACAAAAAAAGGCAGAAAAUCCAGGGACAGAAUGAUUCACGGUUGGCUGAGGGCUAAAAAGCAAAAGCAAGCAGAAUGCGUUGCUCCUACUCCCGGGCUGCUAGGGGAGGAGUUUGUCAAAUUGCUGAGGCUUCCUAACAUGCAUUGGGAAUCAUCAAUUUGGGGGCUCGAAUCACAGCCUACCGAGGCAUCUCCAAAUGACACAACACGCUUCAGUUUGCAUUUCCAGUGUUACGGUAACGGGAGCCUACAGCUGAUUUUCCAUCUGCAUUCCAUCCUGGAUCUGGCCCUGACCUGACACGGACAUGCCGGAGCUGUGCCAUGUUAUGGCCAGAUCAGCUGUUGUUUUGGAGCGAGAGAUGGAAGACCAGCUGUGAGGAGUGUGUUCAGGCUGCACGUGACUUAAAGGGACAACCAAGGAGAGGAUUCAUCUCUUUUCAGAGGACUUAUUAGAACCACAAACCCAGUGACACACUGGGCUUCAUCCAUUGGAAACGAAACAAAACAAAACAAAACAAUGCGAAAACAAAACAAAACAAAACAAAAACAAAAAAAAUGAAAGGGCAUACAUAAACCGUGAUUAAGCCAUUACUGUCAAGGAGACAUGCCUUUAUGUCUUUUCAUCCAAUGACACCCUCACAAUCUGCAGCCUUUUAUUCUCUUAGAGCCAGGCCAUCUGCGCAGAGCGUUACUAAAAAAAACGCACACACAUAUAAAACACAUAUAGGUCUAAUACCAACACACACGCACAUACACACACACACAUUUAUGCAAACACUCUCUCUCUCUCUCUUUCUGUCUCUCUCUCACACACACACACAUUUAUACAUACACUCUCUCUCUCUCACACACACACAUACACUCUUAAGCAUAAAUGCCUGUGGGCUUGUGAUAGGCCACUGUCCAAGUAGACAGCAGAAGCCCGGGAGGCUGCCCAUCU